rnacentral:lncRNA from 1 species
AUGCAUGCUUUGAAGCACCAUGAGAAUCAGCCCAGAGGAUUCUGGGGCACAUCUAAGAAGGUCAGAUGGAAAAUAAGCAAUCGUGGAGACACAGCAGGGAGUAGGGGUACGCAGCACUGGACAAGAGGAGAGGUGGAAAAGAAGGCACCUUUUGUACCAAGAAAAGCUAGCUAUUCAUUUCUUUAUCUUUCAUGAUCCCAUUAACCCGUUCAUGGCAUCACCUUUUCUAAAUGUCUGGAGGUUAAGCCAGAUUUUGCCUUAAACUCCACUCUACGAAAUAAGUGUCACCAGACUGUUCCUCUCCCCUCGCAACCGCCUGAACUCUGCCAAGAGGGGAGACUGACAGCCCUUAUAUAAAAACAAGAGUGAAUCCCUGUUUCUGGGAAAGUAAUAGAAGACAUCCCUUGAAUUUGAAUGCUUGUGAGUUUUUUCUACACAUCAGUGCAUUCCCAUGGAGGCUAUUUCCCCCAGUUUCUGCUAUACGUUUAUGCUGUUUGAACUGCUCCGGAUUUCCCAUGCCAAAGUGGCAAGAUCAGGGAGAGUUUUCUCUAAAGACCCACUAUAUCAACUCUCCUAAGUUCCUCAUUAUUAUGGUUAUAUAAACUCUUGAAAAAUAUAAAUUAAUCUCUUUUCGGCAACUCACAGCCACUCAGAAUUUGACAGAAGUGGGAAAUCACAGUUAGAAAAACUAAAUCCUGCCUUUGUUUCCUGAACUUUAAACUACAGAUUAAUUUGACAGAUGUCUGAGCCUCAUUAAUAUUGCUAUUGUCUGUCUCUGAAUAAUAACUCUGAUGAUCAUUAUGCUGUUCUGAGACAUGCAUAUUUUAAUAGUAUGCUCAUUACUAUAAAAAAUGUAAACCACAUUAACUGGAUUUUUUUUCACACUGUCAUGAAAAACACAUUUGAAAGGGGGGGUUGGUGGGUUGUAAUGUUUCCAAGUCUAUGAAAAACUGUAGAAAGAAUUGGAAAACACUUGAAAUUUGUUGGUAAGGAACUGCCAUCACUGGGAAUGUUUUCACCUUAUUCUACGGGCUCUUUGCAUAGCAAAGCUGGAUCAACUUCACAAGAGUCCACUGACACUGAGACUAUACCAGAAUGGCUGAGCAAGAGGAAUUCCAGGAGGAACAUGACCACAGCCAGCUCACUUCCAUGUUCUGGUGAUAUCUGACUCCUACAAUGGCUUUGCGAUACCACAAGCUCUUAGGCACAAUCUCAAGCAUCCCUAACACCUCUCUUAAAUGCUCUGAGAGCCUUGCUGGUCCUACGGCACUUUUUUCUUGGAGGAGCCAUCAUUUUGCCCCUACUGUUCAAGUGCAGCCUGAUUCAGACCCAGAGUUCUGGCCUGCAUAGGGUCACUUUCAGAAGCAGUUGAGCAAAUCAUCUCCUCAUUGCAAAAUGUAUUUGUACAUCAUAUAAGGCAGCAUUUCAGCUUGAGAAACUGUUGCUUAUUUGUGUCUUGAAUACAAUGGAUCCAUAGCUUGGGGAGGAGACAAAAAUGGUGAUCAACUGAAGCUCUUCAGGUAGGCCUUUUAGGAUGAAAAUCAAACUAUGGAAUUGCAUCCAAAUUCACUGUCUAAGUCUAACCUUCAAACAUAUGCCAUUAGCUCUAUGUGCAAUAUAUUUGCAUCCCAGACUGGGAUGAUGGUCCUCUCUUCAAAUCCAGCCCUUUGUACAGAAUGGCACCUGUCUCCCUGAUCUGGGCAUAGCAACCAACAUCACCCACCCUCCUAAAUCUUCCACCCUCCUAAAUGCACACAACCCUCUACUUUCUAUUCAUCACAGAUAGAAAGAAUCAGAAGUGUGUCUGGAUCUAUUAGAUCUUUAGUCUCCUUAAUUUAGCUGAAAAGUAACAGUUUCUACUUUCUAAUCUCACAACCUGGGAAAUUAAAAAAAAUAAAAUUGUUUGUUUGGUUUCUUUUUUUGUUGUU